rnacentral:rRNA from 1 species
AUGAACGCUGGCGGCGUGCCUAAUACAUGCAAGUCGAGCGAACAGACGAGGAGCUUGCUCCUCUGACGUUAGCGGCGGACGGGUGAGUAACACGUGGAUAACCUACCUAUAAGACUGGGAUAACUUCGGGAAACCGGAGCUAAUACCGGAUAAUAUAUUGAACCGCAUGGUUCAAUAGUGAAAGACGGUUUUGCUGUCACUUAUAGAUGGAUCCGCGCCGCAUUAGCUAGUUGGUAAGGUAACGGCUUACCAAGGCAACGAUGCGUAGCGGACCUGAGAGGGUGAUCGGCCACACUGGAACUGAGACACGGUCCAGACUCCUACGGGAGGCAGCAGUAGGGAAUCUUCCGCAAUGGGCGAAAGCCUGACGGAGCAACGCCGCGUGAGUGAUGAAGGUCUUCGGAUCGUAAAACUCUGUUAUUAGGGAAGAACAAAUGUGUAAGUAACUAUGCACGUCUUGACGGUACCUAAUCAGAAAGCCACGGCUAACUACGUG